GCCGCGGUAACCCAGUUGGUAGAGUCGUCUGCAGUACCUAUGCCGAAAGUAGCUGGUUCAAAACCAGCCUGCGGUG